rnacentral:misc_RNA from 1 species
AACACUGUUAACCUGCGGUACCUGCGGAGGGAUCGUUACCGAGUUAUACAACUCAUCAACCCCUGUGAACUUACCUACAACGUUGCUUCGGCGGGAACAGACGGCCCCGUAAAACGGGCCGCCCCCGCCAGAGGACCCCUAACUCUGUUUUUAUAAUGUUUUUCUGAGUAAACAAGCAAAUAAAUUAAAACUUUCAGCAAUGGAUCU